UGCCAGACUCCUACGGGAGGCAGCAGUAGGGAAUAUUGCUCAAUGGGGGAAACCCUGAUGCAGCAACGCCGCGUGAGUGAAGAAGUAUUUCGGUAUGUAAAGCUCUAUCAGCAGGGAAGAAGAAAGACGGUACCUGACUAAGAAGCCCCGGCUAACUACGUGCCAGCAGCCGCGGUAAUACGUAGGGGGCAAGCGUUAUCCGGAUUCACUGGGUGUAAAGGGAGCGUAGACGGCCAAGCAAGCCAGGGGUGAAAGCCCGGGGGCCAACCCCGGGACUGCCCUUGGAACUGCUUGGCUGGAGUGCGGGAGGGGCAGGCGGAAUUCCUGGUGUAGCGGUGAAAUGCGUAGAUAUCAGGAGGAACACCGGCGGCGAAGGCGGCCUGCUGGACCGCGACUGACGUUGAGGCUCGAAAGCGUGGGGAGCGAACAGGAUUAGAUACCCGAGUAAA
rnacentral:rRNA from 1 species